ACGGGAGGCAGCAGUGGGGAAUAUUGGGCAAUGGGCGAAAGCCUGACCCAGCAACGCCGCGUGAAGGAAGAAGGUCUUCGGAUUGUAAACUUCUUUUAUGAGGGACGAAGGAAGUGACGGUACCUCAUGAAUAAGCCACGGCUAACUACGUGCCAGCAGCCGCGGUAAUACGUAGGUGGCAAGCGUUAUCCGGAUUUACCGGGUGUAAAGGGCGCGUAGGCGGGGAUGCAAGUCAGAUGUGAAAUCUAUGGGCUUAACUCAUAAACUGCAUUUGAAACUGUAUCUCUUGAGUGCUGGAGAGGUAGAUGGAAUUCCUUGUGUAGCGGUGAAAUGCGUAGAUAUAAGGAAGAACACCAGUGGCGAAGGCGAUCUACUGGACAGUAACUGACGCUGAGGCGCGAAAGCGUGGGGAGCAAACAGGAGGAGAUACCCUGGUA
rnacentral:rRNA from 1 species